rnacentral:misc_RNA from 1 species
GCAAACUUGGUCAUUUAGAGGAAGUAAAAGUCGUAACAAGGUUUCCGUAGGUGAACCUGCGGAAGGAUCAUUCAAAAUAAAAGUGAAAUAAAUUAUGGCACUUUUAAAACAAUCCAUAUCCACCUUGUGUGCAAUGUUUUAUGAGAAGUUUUUCCUUAAAGAAAACUUCUUUUAUAACUAUAACAACUCUAUUAUCUUUAACAAGAAAUCGUCUGAAAUAUUUUAUUAUUGAAUAACUUAAUUCAAAAAAUAUAACUUUCAACAACGGAUCUCUUGGCUCUCGCAUCGAUGAAGAACGCAGC